rnacentral:rRNA from 1 species
UGAUUGGUGCUUGCAUCAUGAUUUACAUUUGAGUGAGUGGCGAACUGGUGAGUAACACGUGGGAAACCUGCCCAGAAGCGGGGGAUAACACCUGGAAACAGAUGCUAAUACCGCAUAACAACUUGGACCGCAUGGUCCGAGCUUGAAAGAUGGCUUCGGCUAUCACUUUUGGAUGGUCCCGCGGCGUAUUAGCUAUAUGGUGAGGUAACGGCUCACCAUGGCAUUGAUAC